rnacentral:lncRNA from 1 species
UAGUCAUAUAUUCUGUAUUAUUAAUCACUUAAAUUUGUGCCCUGCCCUCCCCAGAGGCUGAUGACCCCCCUCUCUACACCCCUGCAUUCUGAGGCAGGGACCAGGCUCCCAACCGGCAUGGAAGAAUCUGUCCCCUGCCACCAUGGGGACACACACUGGCAGCAAAUGAGGGGGCUGCUGCCAGACUUCACUCAUCCAGAGAAGACUAGUAAGGAAAAUGUAGACCUCAGGUUAAAUGACAUCAUCCUGAUACAUUCAUCCCAUCAUGUUCCAGUUUUCCUGAAGAGGUGUUGGGAAAUCCUUAGUAGCUUCUCUUACUACAUCAUAUCCAGUCUUAGAGAUGAAGUUAUUUCUUAUCCUGUACUGGUCAGCAAUCCAUUGUUGUGUGGCUUGAAUAUUGACAACAAGCAGAGGAAGCCCUUGCUUAUAAGAUCUGAAUUAAUGUAUAUUCUUGGUUUACUCACUUUUAUGGACAAGGAGUUUUGCUGCCAGAAAGAUCUGCGUAUAAGUCACAAUCUUAAAAUACGAGACGGCUCAAUCAAGGUCUUUGAGUUGGGGAAGAAAAGCUUAAGAUAAAGAAACAAAAUCUGACUGGCAGAGAAUUUGUAGCUGUACCAAGUAGGCCAGAGCCCUGGAAGAAACAAUGAGAAGUUUGUGACUAGAAGAACAUCUGGGAAGCUGUUCAUUUACUUACAGAACAACUGAAAGAAAUGCCUGAAAUGAAUCUGAAAAUGUUAUUUUAGUUUCUGUAUGAAAAAAAAAAAAAGUUUUCAAAUGGGAAAAUACUGGAAGCGAUGCAAGUAGGGAAACCAAAUAGAUUUCUUGGAAGUAGAUGACCAAGCAUAGAGCAAGUAUUUUAAUAGUGAGUGAAGUGAUAGCUUAUUAGUCAUUUAUGAGGAAUUUGAAGUAGUUGAAUUUGGCCACAACUAAUUAUAGAAGACAUAAAUCAGACACUGAGG